AAACAAAUGACUCUCGGCAACGGAUAUCUCGGCUCUUGCAUCGAUGAAGAACGUAGCGAAAUGCGAUACUUGGUGUGAAUUGCAGAAUCCCGUGAACCAUCGAGUCUUUGAACGCAAGUUGCGCCCGAAGCCAUUAGGCCGAGGGCACGCCUGCCUGGGUGUCACA
rnacentral:rRNA from 1 species